UUGACGCCUGUGACUCAAUAAUUACAAAUAAAAGUACUUUUAGGAUUUUUUUGAAUUUUGUACUAUACCUUGUAAGUAAGGUAUUAGUUUGUAAGUCAAUAAAAUCAGAAUUAGAAAAGUUUUUCAUGUAAAAUAUGACGAAAGUUGAGAAUAUAUAGUAGGUACCUACCUACAUACUUAUUUCAUAAAGCAGAAUUACAGUUUUAGAGUUAGUUGAAGUGAAUUUAAUUAAUUGUGUUAUUUUUGUAGUGUUUACCGACAUUGCCAUGUACAAUACAAUGCAUGUAGCAUUUGUAUUGUACGCGGAAACGGAACGAAAAAGAUGUCUUUGUCGAGUUCAUUGCAAAACUUUCGUGUCGCGAUACCAGCAGGUUUUAGAAGAAAUACAAAGUCUUCGAACAACUGCUGUUCGCAAUGAAUUAGAGAUAAGUAAGUUAUAUGAAUGAAUGAAGGAAUUUUCUUCAUUCUCUGCGUUGAGCAAGUGACGUGGACUAUGGGCCUAACCCCUCUCAUUCUGAGAGGAGACUCGAGCUCAGCAGUGAGCCGAAUAUGGUAUUUUUAUAAGGUCUUGGCAGCUUUAAACUUUUAUGCCAAUGGAUCAUACAAAUGGCUUUGUGAUGGCUAAGGCAUCUUUUAGCAAAUGCCUACAUGAAGUCGCUGAUGCUCCUGAAUACCCCAGCUGUUUAAAAAAAAUGUGUUAAGUUCCCUUUGCAUUAAACACAAAAUCAUUAUAAAUAAAUUUAUGAAAAAAUUUGGAUUGCCCGGGUAUUAGGGCGCAUUGAUUGCACCCAUGUGACAAUAGUUCGGCCUACAAGCCAAGAGCUACUAGGAGGCUAACAAUUAGAAUUGAAUAAAAGCAUGGUACCUCCUUUUAUUUAAACAUUAACUUAUUUAUAUAUUGUCAAUUAAUAUUUCAGAUAUGUGAUGCCAAUCUAAUAAUAACAUAGUGGAUGCUCAAUUUGGUGGUGCAUCUUAUGACUUGUACAUAUGGAACCAGUGCAAUAAGACCACUUGAGGAAAACCUGCCCAAUAGGGACCGCUGUUGGUUGUUAGGUGACCAAUGUUUGCAUGAUGACCCCCAUCUUGGGAGCUGCUCCUAGAUCCCAUGAAGAUAUGCACAACAUUGCUGUGUCAGAAAUACGGUGGAGCCUUGUAGUUGGGUGCAUAUUGUAAAAUGUUUCCUCACUCCAAAACCAUGAACUCUGGUUUCCUAAACCCUCAAGCUAUGCAGCCGAAGGAGGAGACUUAUCACAGGAGAAUCACUAAUAAUUUUGAAGAAGUGAAGAGCUUAAGAAUGUUUCAACCAACACCUAAAGAAGCUUUCACUUGGCUGUUAGAUCAAGGGCUGGAUACAGAAAACAGUAAUCCUUGUGAUGGCAGUAUUGUCCAAGGAUUCCUCACUCAAAACCAUGAUAACAAGUUGCUAGAACCCUCAAGCUAUGCAGACAAAGGACUGGAUAUAUUUUUUCGUGACCAAGCCUUCUGUAUAAUUAUUUAUACUUAAACCAUACAAAGCACUAUCUAGCCCCAAAGUAGGCAUACAGAGUAGCUUGUGUUGUGGGUACUAAGAUAGUUGAUAUUAUAAUAUUCAUUUACAUUUAUAUACUACCUAUAAAUACUUAUAUAAUGUAUAAAUACACACACACUGGAAAAAACCCAUGCUCUUCACACAAAUAUUUUCCAGGUGUGGGAAUCGAACCCAUGACCGUGGAUGCAGGAGCACUACUUACUGCGCCACGCGUAUGUGUUUUUAUUUUGAAGCAAAUUAUUAAAGUUGAUAAUUCAAAUUGUAGUCAUGUUUUUAAUUAAUCUAUAAUUAAUUUUUAAUUUACAUUUUGUUAAAUAUUUACCUAUACUUCAGUCUAUUUUUGUUAGAGGGGGUACCUAUAUGUGUAAGUAGGGUCGUUUCUUGAUUAAAUUAAACUAAAGAAUGAAAGAUAUAUAUUAUAACAAAAUUUGUCAACAACAAUAUAUCAAGUCUGAAUAAAAAAUACCAACACAAGUAAA